ensembl:lncRNA
CUGCACGUUUUCAUCCUCCCUGAAACAGAGGGGCAAAUAUUUAUACAUACAUGAAAACAGUGAGCAAACAGGAAGGGUUGGGUGGGCUGUUCCAUGGGGCAGUGAUACACAGCAGCCAAAUCCCACAUGCAGCUUUCGUAUCCACGCUCUCUCCAUCAGAGAGAGCACAGCACUGAGAUUUCAGCUGCACCUGACCCCGGAAUUUCACUCUGUUGGACGUGGUGGAACUCAGCAAUUAUUUUACAAGGAAGGAAACGUUGCCAUGCAGCAUCUCACCAGGCCAAACCGCAGCUGGAGCUCUUCCCUUGCACAUCAGAGCGGCUGCCGGGAGGUGGAGCACCGCACCCGCUGCACAUCGCCACCGAGCACCAACCGAGAGCUUCCAGAUCGUCCCCCGCUCCAGCCAGGCUGACCCUAAGCCUCCAUCCACACAAGGUGGGCUCUCUGUUUGCUGGCUGCAGACGUGGGCUGCGCUGCUCUAGCCAAAAGAUGCCUACAGCUUGUUGGAGAAGUGCAGAAGCUCUAGGGGCAAAGCACCCGGGCAUAAAGCCCGUACGUCUGGUGGCAGCACCAGCAAAGAUGGGCGGAUGUUUUAAACUGGUCGACGUCAAGCACUGUGAUUUGGUUUCCUUUGGAUCAUUCUGCCUUGAAAUGACUCUGAUCCAGGUGUUGUUUGCUUAUGGGAACACUGAAAAGUUGCACAUGUACAAGUUUUUCACUUGAAAAACAACAACAAAAAAAGCAACCUAGGAAAAUUCCCAUAAAGGUCUAAGCAAGCAGGCUGUGGCACUGCAAGCAAAACCCUGUGAUUUUAUGUCUUUCCACACCUGUGGUCCAUUUAAGCUAUAAAUCCCAUCUGUUGUGAGCAAGGUUUGCUAUCGAGCAUCCUGAUGAGAGAAGUGAGAUUUGACUGUAAGAACAACAUACAAUGAUUUUUAAUAUUUGGUGUAAUAAAGCCUUCUCCUGCAAAUAUUGUCAUUGGUUGUCUCACCAGUGCGUAACUUGCUGUUGGCAAAUCUUCCCCAGGAAGGUUAUAAUAACAUCAUUCUCUGGCAUCUCUGCCAGAUACUCAGCUCUUUAUUUUCUGUUCUGUCAUAUAAGCUGAGUAAUUUAUACGCCUGUUCAAUACAAAAGGUGGUUAUUAUAUGUUUGAAGAAAGAGGUUUGACAAUACCUGCCUUGUAAGAAAUACCAACGGAGUAGUACAGAGGAAAGGCAAAGGAAAACGCUGUAAAUCAAGAGGUGACGAGGCACUUUUCAGAUGGAAGAUCAGAACAUCAUUAAGGGCUCCACAAACAAACACGUCGGGUUACAGACAAAAUCCUAUUUUCUCGCAUUUGCCCUCUGUUGUUGCAGCCUUUUAUGGAUAUAAAUCCCACCGAAGUCAAAUCGCGUCUAUAAACUAAAUUCCAAAA